CGGGAGAGCGGAGGGUCGGCGAGGGUGCCUGCGCGCGGCUGGGCCUGGGGAUGCAGGUUCCAGCCUGCUUGCGCGUCUCACCUGAUUUAGGAGCUUCCAGAGGCCCCAGACAGUGCCUGUCUUUGCCUGACCGCGAAUCAAAGUUCCAUAGCCCGUGAGCGAAGGUACUCCCAGCAGUGGCGCAGAGACCAUCCUCAGUUCUGUGUGUGGAUGGGACCAGAGAAGCCGGCCGGCCGAGCUAAUGUUCUUCCCUUCCUGGAAGAGAGUAGUUUCCAAACAACCCGAUCUCUGUUCCUCUACUGGCUCCACAUAUGCUCUAAGUUCCUGUUACACUGUUGAGAGGCUCUUGAAUUAGAAACUAUCGAGUAUAAAUGGCAGUGGAAUAUCACUCUAUAGUUGUCACCGAUAUUUCCCUUACCUUGAGAUUGUGACAAGACCAGAAAGAGAAAAAGAGUAAAA
rnacentral:lncRNA from 1 species